GCUUCCUGGCGACGGCGGCGGCGCUGGAUUUUCUCAUGGGUUGGUGGUGUAUCUACCGCUGACCUCCGGCACAGAUACACCGACCUCCGGGGCCCCAGCCCCUCCGCCCCCGGCCUCACCUUUCCCGUGUCCGCCCUCGCCGAGCAUUGAAUCUGCCGGCCACCAGGUAAGCUUUCUUCGUCCUCUUCCACCGCCUCUUACUUGCUGCUUCAAUCGCAGGCAAGAAUAGUUUAUCAAGUUCUUGCCUAGCCAUCUAUUUGUACAAUUUCUGCAGCUGUACUUUUGUGCCAUCUUCCUCCCAUUUAUUUCCUCUUGAUUGCAUAGGUUCUUUGACAAUCUGAUUUUGAUUUCUUGAAUGUUUGUAGACUCAAUGAUGGUUGAUCUUGUUAGCUACAGAUGAUAUUCCCUGUUUCGAACAAGAUUGAAUUUUGAUGGACUGCAUAUAGUGUUUGAUUCUCCUACACCGUGCCCUGAAUGAUCUUAUGUUCACCCAGACUUAUAGGUUUCUAAAUACUAGGCUCAUGGGACUUAAUUCUAAUGGUUAGUUUUUUUGGAUUCAUGUACUCUGGUGCUGCAGCCUACGUAAAACUCCUUCACAAUAGUGUUUAAAGCUUAAAUUGAUAACUCUAUCAGAGUUCAAGCAUUAGGCUCUCUGCUCUGUGUAUUGCCAAGUGUUCUAUAUAAUGCUUUGAUGUUCUUUUGUCACUGUUUGAUGUUCUGCCUUGGGUAGCCUCUGUCUUGGUUUACAGCUCCAUAUGGCAACCUAUGUAUACCUAUGUAGGUUUUGUUUGAACUGUACUCAAAUCACCCAUAUGUUUCCAUAGUCUUGCCUUCCUCUUUUUAACUCAUGAGAUUACUAGAUAGUUGAAUAUCAUCCUAAAAUCUAAAAAGUGCACGCACACUUCUUCGUAGGAACGGGCGGCCGGCUUGUUACUCACAUGUGUACUUCCUCUCUCUCAGUUUACAGGGCGUGCGCGUACCCCUAGGUCGUCAAUUUGACUAACCUAAUACAAGUCAUAUAUUACAAAAAAUAUACCAAUAUAAACUUCAGAUGUUCUAUUUUCAAAAGGUAUAAUUUUUGUGUUAUAUAGUUUAUAUUAGGGUGAUAAAAUUGGUAACCUAGGUAUACGCGUAGGACUUAUAAACUGUGAUGGAGGGAGUAUCUUUUUUUGUCAGUUAGUGAAUGUUUUUUGUUAGUAUUAAAUGCGUAUAGACUAGUCUGAGAAACAGAUUCAGGCACAUUUAUUUUGGCCUCUUAAAUUUUUUAAAAGUCAUAUCUUUUAAACCACACGUCGGAAUUCAGAUCCAUUUUCACUGUUGGAUUCAUCGCGACGAGAUCUUCGAAACUAGAUCCCGCAUGAGUAUGUUUCGACAAAAAAAUUUUGAUGCCAACUUUGAUGCUAUAUGAUGCAACUAAAGUACUGCAUUGUGCAACUUUAGUACUACAUGAUGCAACUUUUUUUAAACCAACUUUAGUACUACAUGGCUUGUAAUUUAGUCUAGUUGCACACAUAUUGAUGUUUAGUUGGCUUAUAAUGUAGUCUAGUUGCACACACAUUGAUGUUUAGUUGCCAGAAGGACUAGUUGCACACACAUAUGCUCAGUUGGCUUGUAAUUUAGUCUAGUUGCACACACAUUAAUAUUUAGUUGGCAGGACACUAGUUGCACACACACAUAUGCGCAAUUGACGCGACAAUGUAGUUUAGUUGCACACACAUUGAUAUUUAGUUGACAGGACUAGUUACACACAUAUAUGCUCAGUUAGCGCGGCAAUGUAGUCUAGUUGCACACACAUUGACAUUUAGUUGGCAGGAAGACUAGUUCGUCAAAACAACCCCAUAUGGGAUCUACUUUUGAAGAACACGUCGCGAGGGUUUCAACGAUGAAAACGAAUCUAAAUUUCGACACACGGAUUGAAAGUAUGCCUUUUUAAAAUUUUAAAAUCACAAAAUAAAUACGAACAAACACAUGCACAUGCAUAUGCAUGCACAAGAGGAGAUGCAUAUGCUAGCAUUUAAUACGUAGCAGGAAAAUGGACUAUUAAACCAAAUCUGUAGCAUAGACAGAAAUAAUACGUGCACACAAUUUAGAAUUUAGGCCGGCCGCUCGGUACGGCUACUGAGCAGCCGGCCGCUCGCUAGACUUGCCCGAAUAUCAUUGGUCUCUGUCGGCAUUCUAUUUUCGUAGUUUGAAAUGAAUAUUGGUCUAUUGAUAUUAAACUUCACAAUAGGUAGUGGCAUCUUCAGGAAAAAGUAGUGGCAGACAUGCUGGAAAUUUCUUUUCUACUGCAGGAAUGACACUUGCCCAAAUCCUCAACACAUAUUUUUGUGCUCUCAACCAAAUGUGUGUGCUAUGAUAAUUAAGGUUACCAAGAUGAAUGGUGUUUCUAUAGGGCCGGACAUAUUUCUUAUCUUCAUAAAUCAGUGAUGCACAGAUUAUCUUAGCUAUAUUGUGAAUCUUGAUAACCUCACGAUGAACAAAUUUUGCGGCCUGUAUUUGGGAUAAUUCAAAUUGUUGCGAAAUGUGUUCGUCCAGGAAAAGUCACUACAUCAUAUGUCCUAGAUAAAUCUUUACUGAACAUUUUAGUUUUCCUCAUACAUGCUUAUCAUUUGGCAUAAUGUUAUUUUGCGAGCUUAAUUCUACCCUGAAUAUACAAACAAUCAGUUUGUUUAUUUUUUUUGCUGUCAUAAUAAGACCCUGAAACCAUCUUCCAUCAAACACAUAUCUGUAGUAUCUAUACUAUGUACAAGGUGCAGAUAGAUAUAUUUGUUGACCAAGCAAUUCCCCUCUUUUGAGACAAAGACCAAUAUAUGAUUACCCAUCCCCUGGUUUCCUUUCUAUUUUUUAUUCCAAUAUAACAUGAUGAGCUAUUCGUUGUUUUCUAAUUUCAGUGUAAUCUAAAAUCAGACUGUGCGAACAUAGAUGCAUUUAUUCACAAAUUAGCAAGCACCUGAGUGAAGAACCCUUAAAAUGUAUGGAAAAUGCAAUUACCACCGGCAAAUAAAUUGGCAUUUGUAUUCCAGGUAACAGUCCCGAAAAGAAAGAGGACUAUGGACCUGAGUGGGAAUGGAGGCAGGAUAUUCUUCUGGAUGGCUAUGUUGAGGUGGUGGUUGGUCCGAUCCAUGGUGUACGCAAAAUCGGUCAGCAUGGUGGAGUUGUGCUGUGGGGAGGACACUGGUUUGGAGAUCUAGGCGACUAUCUGCGUGCUGGGUGGAUCAGUAGCCCACCUCGGGAUAGAGGCAAGCGGCGCUUCACGUGUGCCUCGCCAUGCCACAACAGUGGCGUUGACAAUGUUUAAUCCUAAGACCACUAUUUUUGUGUCUAUAUGCAGUGUUCACUUUGUCUAUAUCUUGGCAAUGUUUAAUCAUAAAACCACUAAUUCUGUGUCUAUAUGCAGUGUUCACUUCAUCUAUAUCAUAUUUAUUUUAUAUGGCAAAUCAUCUUUCGAAAUUAACCAAGCCUAACUACACACUAGGAAUAUGGUGAAAACUAAUAUGAAACAACAACUUUUGUCACAUAUACCAAACCAAGGUUGCUUAUCAGUAAACACCUCAUUAUUUAGCAUAUGCUUUAGGGCCAAAUUAUGUUUCAUGUGCCAUUAUUAUUGCCUUUUUUAAUACAUUAUUUAAAUCCUUACGUGACACCAAUCUUAAACAGGUCCAUCUAUCAACGAUGUCGAGAAAGCUCUACCACAAGAAAGUGAUGACUCUGCCUGGUGUCACCGGCUUCAUGUUUUGCUCCUCCGUACCCAUAGACUAGAAGACUAGGGCUAUAUAGAUUGAUUUUUAAAACCAAUGUAAAUAAGUUGUUUUCGGCUAUCAUGCUACCUCGCAUUGUAAUAUAUAUUGCUAUGUAUGAACAUAUGCUACCCAAGUAUAUAUUUCCUUAUGCUUAAAUGACUUUCUUAUCGAUCUUAUAACAUAUCUUAUUUGUAUAGUUUGAAUACAUGGUUUUCUCUCGCUUUUUACGGCAUGGGCGCAACGGGAGUUGAUCACAAAGAGGUAGCAUUCAGGAUAUAUGCACAAAAGAGUAUAGAACCAAAUUAUAUAAUAUAAU
rnacentral:lncRNA from 1 species